rnacentral:rRNA from 1 species
UACGUAGGGGGCGAGCGUUGUCCGGAUUUAUUGGGCGUAAAGGGUGCGUAGGCGGCCUUGUAAGUCAGAUGUGAAAUCUCACGGCUUAACCGUGGUAAGCAUUUGAAACUGUGAGGCUUGAGUACAGGAGAGGAGAGUGGAAUUCCUAGUGUAGCGGUGAAAUGCGUAGAUAUUAGGAGGAAUACCAGUGGCGAAGGCGACUCUCUGGACUGUAACUGACGCUGAGGCACGAAAGCGUGGGGAGCAAACA